GAAGAACGCUGGCGGCGUGCCUAAUACAUGCAAGUUGAGCGCUGAAGGUUGGUACUUGUACCAACUGGAUGAGCAGCGAACGGGUGAGUAACGCGUGGGGAAUCCGCCUUUGAGCGGGGGACAACAUUUGGAAACGAAUGCUAAUACCGCAUAAAAACUUUAAACACAAGUUUUAAGUUUGAAAGAUGCAAUUGCAUCACUCAAAGAUGAUCCCGCGUUGUAUUAGCUAGUUGGUGAGGUAAAGGCUCACCAAGGCGAUGAUACAUAGCCGACCUGAGAGGGUGAUCGGCCACAUUGGGACUGAGACACGGCCCAAACUCCUACGGGAGGCAGCAGUAGGGAAUCUUCGGCAAUGGACGAAAGUCUGACCGAGCAACGCCGCGUGAGUGAAGAAGGUUUUCGGAUCGUAAAACUCUGUUGGUAGAGAAGAACGUUGGUGAGAGUGGAAAGCUCAUCAAGUGACGGUAACUACCCAGAAAGGGACGGCUAACUACGUG
rnacentral:rRNA from 1 species